rnacentral:rRNA from 1 species
AUUGAACGCUGGCGGCGUGCCUAACACAUGCAAGUCGAGCGAUGAAGGGAGCUUGCUCCUGGAUUAGCGGCGCACGGGUGAGUAACGCGUGGAUGAUCUACCUAUAAGUUCGGGAUACCAGUUGGAAACGGCUGACAAUACCGGAUACGAAGCAUUUUCACAUUUGCUUGAAAGGCGGUGCAAGCUGUCGCUUAUAGAUGAGUCCGCGUCUCAUUAGCUAGUUGGUGGGGUAAUGGCUCACCAAGGCAAUGAUGAGUAGCCGGCCUGAGAGGGUAAUCGGCCACACUGGGACUGAAACACGGCCCAGACUCCUACGGGAGGCAGCAGUGGGGAAUAUUGCGCAAUGGACGAAAGUCUGACGCAGCGACGCCGCGUGAGGGAUGAAGGCCUUCGGGUUGUAAACCUCUGUCAGGGGGAAAGAAACGUUAUGGUAGUAACUGCCCAUAAUUUGACGGUACCCCCAAAGGAAGCACCGGCUAACUCCGUGCCAGCAGCCGCGGUAAUACGGAGGGUGCGAGCGUUAAUCGGAAUCACUGGGCGUAAAGCGCGCGUAGGCGGCUUGGUAAGUUAGGGGUGAAAUCCCACGGCUCAACCGUGGAACUGCCUUUAAUACUGCCUUGCUAGAGUUCGUGAGAGGAUAGUGGAAUUCCUGGUGUAGGAGUGAAAUCCGUAGAGAUCAGGAGGAACAUCAGUGGCGAAGGCGACUGUCUGGCACGAUACUGACGCUGAGGUGCGAAAGCGUGGGUAGCAAACAGGAUUAGAUACCCUGGUAGUCCACGCUGUAAACGAUGGAUACUAGGUGCUGGGAGCUUGUCUCUCGGUGCCGUAGCUAACGCGUUAAGUAUCCCGCCUGGGGAGUACGGUCGCAAGGCUGAAACUCAAAGAAAUUGACGGGGGCCCGCACAAGCGGUGGAGUAUGUGGUUUAAUUCGAUGCAACGCGAAGAACCUUACCUAGGCUUGACAUCCAGAGAAUCCGGCCCAAAAGCCGGAGUGUCCUUCGGGAAACUCUGAGACAGGUGCUGCAUGGCUGUCGUCAGCUCGUGCCGUGAGGUGUUGGGUUAAGUCCCGCAACGAGCGCAACCCCUAUUUUUAGUUGCCAUCAGGUAAUGCUGGGCACUCUAGAGAGACUGCUCUGGUCAACAGAGAGGAAGGUGGGGACGACGUCAAGUCAUCAUGGCCCUUACGCCUAGGGCUACACACGUACUACAAUGGCGCACACAGAGGGCAGCGAAACCGUGAGGUCAAGCCAAUCCCAAAAAAUGCGUCCCAGUCCGGAUUGCAGUCUGCAACUCGACUGCAUGAAGUUGGAAUCGCUAGUAAUCCCAGAUCAGCAUGCUGGGGUGAAUGCGUUCCCGGGCCUUGUACACACCGCCCGUCACACCACGAAAGUUGGUUUUACCCAAAACCGGUGAGCUAACCGCAAGGAGGCAGCCGUCUACGGUAGGGCUAAUGAUUGGGGUG